GUGGGCGUACUCUGUUGGUACAGCCUCCAUAUUCCCCUGUUAAUCCCUCAAAGCAGAUUAACAAGUAUUUGUGACAGGUUUCAUAAUUGAUGAAUUUAACCAGCAUUUUGUGCAUUUAUGCUUUUGAAGCAUGAUUAGAGUUUAAAAAUGGCGUUAACACUAUGAUAAAUGAAUGCUGGAUAUGAAACUAAUUCAGAGUGAAGAGCCACAGGAAAAUGGCACCACUCCUGAGAGUGGGAAUGAUCUUCCUGUUACAGAUUUCCAUGUCGGGUUUUUCAAUGGAUACCAAGGUCACCAGAGGUCAUCCUAUUGUAAUAGAUAGGAAUGCCAGGCAAUAGCUCCCAUUCUGAUCCACAGGGACCAUAUCGCUCAGAAAUCGGGGCAUAGUCAUCAUCUUCCGCCCACCCCACUGGGAACAUCUCAAAAUCCAAGCACAUCCAUCAUUAACGAACUUUCUACAGCAUUUCCAUGUAGUCCAUUGCAGAAUAGAUGUAUAAUAACAAAUCUGAAUGUCUGCAUAUAAAAGGUUUAAAGCUGGAAUUAAGAGCUCUAUUCUGUUAAAUUGUUUGGGGUAUAUUGAUGCUCUCGGUAUAUAUAGUACCUAUUGAUUGGGAUUUAUUUGGUAUGUCACGAUCAUAAAUCAUAGCAUUGUACAUGGUGUUAGUCUACUUCCUCAUACCAAUUUUCUGUUAUGUCAUCCGUAAUGUUUUGUCAUUUCUAGUGACAUUCUAGUUAGGUCUGCCAAUUACAUUUAACUAGAAUCUUCCAUUUCUGGGUUUUGAUGAGUGAGAUGGAUAUGAGUUUUAAGAACCUGGUGUCAUUUAUGUUAGCCGACCUGACAAGAUAUUUCUGGAAUAAAUCAGAACGUUUCACUUGCCUAAUUUGAAUUUAUGUGAGCGAAAACUGAAAUAAAAAAAUAAUGUAAUUGCCCAAUAUAUCCUCCAAGAAUCUGGAUGAAACAAUGGUCCGACUAUGAAACGAAACUGAUCAUAUUACACAAUUCUCCGAACCAAACAAGACUGUCCACCAAUAUGACUGACCACUACACUAGGUUCAAACCAAACAAGACUGUCCACCAAUAUGACUGAUCCAACACUGACCAUUACGCUAGGUUCAAACCAAACAAGACCAUCCACCAAUACGUCUAAUCCAACACAAACUACAACCUUGUCUCAAACCAAACAGUAAUGACUGCCUAACCAGACUGACCAAUGAGACUUUGUUCAUUAAGAAUAACGACACGAUAGUGAUCUCUCUGUUCCCCUACUGAGUCGACCCUUCUCCUUCACAGUGAUAUUUUAAUCACACCUGACACUUCCCAUCAUCCCCUUUCUACCUAGGAUAUCCUCCACACCUUCUUACACUGUACCUGUACUGUCACCCAUGUGACAAUGCUGUUUAUUCCACAGUAGACUAGUACCAACCCUCAAUAUACAUGUACUCCAGAUGCAUUAUUCCUACAUAAGUAUUUUCACCUUUGUGAUAAUUGUUUCCUUCCUGUGUGAUACAUGUUUUGGCUUUCUUCUAAAAUUGUAACAAGCCCCCGUUACAGUCUGUUAAACUCUAGGCUUUAUCAGUAAGCUUCAGAAAGGGAAAAUUAACUAAUGAAUAUGCAUGAUAUUUGCUGCUUUAUUUCAAAAUAUUCAAUUUGAAGAUCUUUAUUGUUCAGCAGCUGCAUGUUAUGUGGUCAGGGUUGUUUUUGCAUUAUUUUAAGCUGUAGUCGAUUCAAGAAAGAAAAAAAAAGGAAAAAUUAUCCCGUUAAAAAGGAAAA